GGCGGUCGGGGGACGGGCCGUUGGUCCUCGCCCCCGUCGGCGGCGGGGGCACGGCGCACGCGUGCGUGUUCGACUGGCUCGACCGCGC
rnacentral:tRNA from 1 species